ACACGGCGUCGCCGCCCCCCGCUUCCCCUGCAUCUAGGCGCUGCCGCCCUCCCGCUUCCCCUACCCCGAGGCGCCGCUGACCCAACCUCCCGCGUGCCACCUGACUUCCUUCCCCCGCCGCCCCUUGCUCCGGUGGGCCUCCCACCGCUACCAACCGGCGUCGGAACCGUCCCUCGCCCUGGAUCGCACCGCCGCCACUACCCACGAUGAGGAUCGCGCCACAGGCACCGUCCCAUGAUGGGGAUCGAGCUGCAGGCACCGUCCCACGAUGGGGAUCGCGCCACUGCAACCGCAUCGCCCCACCUCCCGUCAUCGGGAUCCUGCUGCCGCGCGACAACCACCGGGAUCCUCCCACUGUGUGACCUUCCUCCACCUGCCACCGUGAACUUCUUCCACCCUCCACCGUGACCUUCUUCCCUCCCCCGCCUCGAUCCUGACAUGGCUCCAUGUUUCAUUGAUGUUGUAGGCGGUCGCUACUCACGCCGCGCGCGUGUGGCGGUGGACGGACGCGAUGGUUUCCUUCAACAUGAACGACCGCAAAGAGUGGCUCGUCGGAUGCUGUUGCCGUGGAUGAGGAUGAUCUCGUUCUCGAUAGGAGAAUGAAGAGACACAGGAGAGGGGACGAGGAUCAUGUGCUCACCGUGCAACACAGCGUCACCUCUUCGCUCUGGAGCAUCGGGAUUCUUGCUAGAGAGCAUUCAGUGUCGGAUUUCCUAAUGUGUAUUGUCCUUCUUUCAUUUGUGGUCCACUGUUUGCUGUUGUUCGUUUACAGGUUUGGAAGGCAGCCAUGCUGCUAACCUGACUUUGUGUUGCACAAGAGCUUCACGUCGUCUGAAUUCGACGGUGUUACUGCCAUGGAGAUCGGUGUUGGGACAGGUGAUGGCUUGUUAUGAAAUUUAGUGAAUGAGAAAAUUGUAUUGUGCUUGUACAACUGUGUAAUUUUUUAUUUUUUAUUUGUUUUUGUGAAUAUCAAAAUGUUGAGUCCGAGAAGUUCAAGUAUGUUAGUUUAAACUGUAUUAUUGAGAUGCUCCAACUGGUUGUAGGAGUGCAUUGAGAAACAGAGUGAAAAACAUCUAUAAAAAUGGAAGUUCAGGAGGAUCAAAAAAGAAAAAGAAGAAAGAAAAAGCUCACACUUCCGUCGUUGAUAUUUACAACGACAAACAAGUAACAAGUUCAUGUUUGUCAACCAUU